rnacentral:rRNA from 1 species
UNUGAAGUUAAAGGCAUUGGCUCAACCAAUGUAUGCUUUGGAAACUGUUAGACUUGAGUGCAGAAGGGGAGAGUGGANUUCCAUGUGUAGCGGUGAAAUGCGUAGAUAUAUGGAGGAACACCGGUGGCGAAAGCGGCUCUCUGGUCUGUCACUGACGCUGAGGCUCGAAAGCGUGGGUAGCGAACAGGAUUAGAUACCCUGGUAGUNCACGCCGUAAACGCUGAGUGCUAGGUGUUAGGUCCUUUCCGGGACUUAGUGCCGACGCUAACGCAUUAAGCACUCCGCCUGGGGAGUACGACCGCAAGGUUGAAACUCAAAGGAAUUGACGGGGGCCCGCACAAGCGGUGGAGCAUGUGGUUUAAUUCGAAGCAACGCGAAGAACCUUACCAGGUCUUGACAUCCCGAUGCCCGCUCUAGAGAUAGAGUUUUUCUUCGGAACAUCGGAGACAGGUGGUGCAUGGUUGUCGUCAGCUCGUGUCGUGAGAUGUUGGGUUAAGUCCCGCAACGAGCGCAACCCUUAUUGUUAGUUGCCAUCAUUAAGUUGGGCACUCUAGCGAGACUGCCGGUAAUAAACCGGAGGAAGGUGGGGAUGACGUCAAAUCAUCAUGCCCCUUAUGACCUGGGCUACACACGUGCUACAAUGGUUGGUACAACGAGUCGCAAGCCGGUGACGGCAAGCUAAUCUCUGAAAGCCAAUCUCAGUUCGGAUUGUAGGCUGCAACUCGCCUACAUGAAGUCGGAAUCGCUAGUAAUCGCGGAUCAGCACGCCGCGGUGAAUACGUUCCCGGGCCUUGUACACACCGCCCGU